rnacentral:rRNA from 1 species
AGAGUUUGAUCCUGGCUCAGAUUGAACGCUGGCGGCAGGCCUAACACAUGCAAGUCGAACGGUAACACAGAGAGCUUGCUCUCGGGUGACGAGUGGCGGACGGGUGAGUAAUGUCUGGGAAACUGCCUGAUGGAGGGGGAUAACUACUGGAAACGGUAGCUAAUACCGCAUAAUGUCGCAAGACCAAAGAGGGGGACCUUCGGGCCUCUUGCCAUCAGAUGUGCCCAGAUGGGAUUAGCUAGUAGGUGGGGUAACGGCUCACCUAGGCGACGAUCCCUAGCUGGUCUGAGAGGAUGACCAGCCACACUGGAACUGAGACACGGUCCAGACUCCUACGGGAGGCAGCAGUGGGGAAUAUUGCACAAUGGGCGCAAGCCUGAUGCAGCCAUGCCGCGUGUAUGAAGAAGGCCUUCGGGUUGUAAAGUACUUUCAGCGGGGAGGAAGGCGAUAAGGUUAAUAACCUUGUCGAUUGACGUUACCCGCAGAAGAAGCACCGGCUAACUCCGUGCCAGCAGCCGCGGUAAUACGGAGGGUGCAAGCGUUAAUCGGAAUUACUGGGCGUAAAGCGCACGCAGGCGGUCUGUCAAGUCGGAUGUGAAAUCCCCGGGCUCAACCUGGGAACUGCAUUCGAAACUGGCAGGCUAGAGUCUUGUAGAGGGGGGUAGAAUUCCAGGUGUAGCGGUGAAAUGCGUAGAGAUCUGGAGGAAUACCGGUGGCGAAGGCGGCCCCCUGGACAAAGACUGACGCUCAGGUGCGAAAGCGUGGGGAGCAAACAGGAUUAGAUACCCUGGUAGUCCACGCCGUAAACGAUGUCGACUUGGAGGUUGUGCCCUUGAGGCGUGGCUUCCGGAGCUAACGCGUUAAGUCGACCGCCUGGGGAGUACGGCCGCAAGGGUUAAAACUCAAAUGAAUUGGCGGGGGCCCGCACAAGCGGUGGAGCAUGUGGUUUAAUUUCGAUGCAACGCGAAGAACCCUU